AGAGAUACAACCUCCACCAUUACCUUAAUGCUGGGAUUUUCAGAGGCUUAAACAGCGCCUAAAAUUGCCUCUGGAGCCAGGGGAGGAAAGAUUUGUGGUGCCAUAGACCCAAAUAUGACAGUCUUUGCUGCCACCAAGGCAGCAGUCCCAGUGAAAAUUACCUGGACUUUCUAAUGGUGCUCCUGCCCCUGAUUCUCUGCCUGUGACAUUUUGGUAGCACGGAGAAGAGCUGAUACCAUGGAUGUGCUUCCCAUUGACUUGCAAGCGCUGUGCAGACUACUGGAGAUUGCCCUGCAUUAUCUCAGGCUUUUGCAGCUCCAGGAAUGAGGGCAGAGAGGCAGAAACGUGGUACCCUGAGCUUGCUGAGCUGCCAGAACGAGCACGGGAAGCUCCCUGGCUGACACUGCUUCAGUGUGGCCCAUCUGCAGUUUGCAGCUCAGCUCAGGUACUGAACACAGACAAAACGAACCUGGUGAAGUGCAUCAGAACAUUUCUGUGCCUGACAAGCAGCCACCCUGUCCAUGACCCUUAAUUUGACUUUUCCCACAUCUUUCCUGCACUCUGGAUGCUCGGCUGUGGAUUUGCUAAUGCCUCCCUGUGCUUUUGAAGCUGCCAUGGGAUGAAGGUGGGCAGAUGAGGCACUUUGGGUUCUGGAAUGUGAAAAACGCCAUUCA